rnacentral:rRNA from 1 species
CAUGGCUCAGGACGAACGCUGGCGGCGUGCCUAAUACAUGCAAGUCGAGCUGCCAGAAGGGAGCUUGCUCCCGGAUGUUAGCGGCGGACGGGUGAGUAACACGUGGGUAACCUGCCCGUAAGACUGGGAUAACUCCGGGAAACCGGAGCUAAUACCGGAUAGUUCCUUGAACCGCAUGGUUCAAGGAUGAAAGACGGUUUCGGCUGUCACUUACAGAUGGAUCCCCGCGAGCGCAUUUAAGCUUAGUUUGGUGGGGUAAUGGCUCACCAAGGCGACGAUGCGUAGCCGACCUGAGAGGGUGAUCGGCCACACUGGGACUGAGACACGGCCCAGACUCCUACGGGAGGCAGCAGUAGGGAAUCUUCCGCAAUGGACGAAAGUCUGACGGAGCAACGCCGCGUGAGUGAUGAAGGUUUUCGGAUCGUAAAGCUCUGCUGCUAGGGAAGAACAAGUGCGAGAGUAACUGCUCGCACCUUGACGGUACCUAACCAGAAAGCCACGGCUACCUACGUGCCAGCAGCCGCGGUAAUACGUAGGUGGCAAGCGUUGUCCGGAACUAUUGGGCGUAAAGGGCUCGCAGGCGGUUUCUUAAGUCUGAUGUGAAAGCCCCCGGCUCAACCGGGGAGGGUCAUUGGAAACUGGGCAACUUGAGUGCAGAAGAGGAGAGUGGAAUUCCACGUGUAGCGGUGAAAUGCGUAGAGAUGUGGAGGAACACCAGUGGCGAAGGCGACUCUCUGGUCUGUAACUGACGCUGAGGAGCGAAAGCGUGGGGAGCGAACAGGAUUAGAUACCCUGGUAGUCCACGCCGUAAACGAUGAGUGCUAAGUGUUAGGGGGUUUCCGCCCCUUAGUGCUGCAGCU